CAUUGGUCCUUCUACCGUAAAAUAAAAACACCAAAGCCGUGGAAGCUGUACGGAGAUAAUCAUUGCCAACCAAAGCCGUGGAAGCUGGAAACGGAGCCAUUACAGAUCAAAAGGAUUUUUAUUUGGUAACAAUAAGUACGAGGUGAUCCAGGAUGAAAACUAUUGGUGGUCCUUUUAACAUGAAUUUUCCCUGUCCGCUUUGUGGCCGUCCUCAUGCAAUUCGACUUUGUACUACCUUUUUGGCCUUAGACACCAGCAAAAAAAGAGACUUCGUGAUGAAUAACAGGCUGUGCAUAAAUUGUUUAGCGUCGUCCCAUGAGAGAUCGACAUGCCGGAGUCUUGAUGUCUGUAAAUUAUGCAAUGGUUUCCACCACAGCUUUCUGCACCGUAUGACGGAUGAAUAUGUUUGGUUCCCGAUGACAGCAAUGGUCAGAAUUUAUACCUGUUAUGGUCGGCGAGAUCAAAAUACCAGAGUGCUGCUCGAUCCCAAUUCGAAAUAUUCUUAUAUUGCCUUGGAAGAAGCCCUUGAUAUGUACUGUCUGAUGGACAACGAAAGAACUACGGUUGUGUUACAACAUCAGAGUGUAGACCGAAAAAAGAUCAAGGUUGAAUUGGUGGUUCGCGAUCGCGUAUUUGGGGUUACUCCGACUGCACGGAUUGAUAAAGAGGCUAACAUGUUUGCCAACCCUCCCGGUAAUGUGAUCGACGCAGAUAGAUAUUGGAACCGGUCGUCGCCGUAUUUUGUGAUUCUGGGAGCCGAAGCCUGCAGAGCAGUUUUUGUGGGACCACCUAUGGUUCAGCCUGGCCGUAUUUUUAUCCAGGAUUCCAUAUUCGGCCGACUAUAUUUUGGUGAAGGCAAGAAGGUGCCGAUUACGAGCCGAUUGAAUUGAAUUUGAUACCUGAUUAAACCCAAAACCAAACAAAAACCAAGAGAGACUGAAUUCUAUACUUUUAAUUUCAUUGUUAAAUAUCAUUUUGUUUUCUAGUUUUCUAAGACAUACUGAAUUAAAUUGUUUACUUUAA